CCCUACUUCCCCGUCGUCUCCUUCGCUUCUCCUGUCUGAAAUCCUCGCCCAGACCACAAAUGGAAACCAUGCCAAUUCUUUCACCCAAACACCAAAUCAAACCUACGCUUGAAGCAAAGUUGACUAAAAUUCACCGAGAUUCGUUCAUUUCUACCGAUUAAAACCACUACACAGAUGAAUUGAAGGCUUCGACAAUAAACAGUUCGCGGCAGAAAUAGAGUACGUUUUCAAUCGUAGAUUAUGAAAGAUCCCACCCCAUCAGGUUGCAGUUCCACCUAAUCCAAAGUCUUGAACUGGUUCUGCUAUCAGCCAGAGUCAUCAGCAGUGUUUCCAAUAAUCUUUCUUUCCAAGGAGAGGGACCAUCCAACCUACAAAUCGCUUGCUUUGGGUAGAACUCAUGGAGUCUUUGGAAUUGGUUCUGCAAUCAACUUCAAGGGCCCUUCUUCAGCCACUGCUGGAGAAUUGAGUGAAAGUGGAAGUAUUGAUUCUGAUAAACUGUUGUCUUUCAUGAAGCAUGAGGCUGGCUCAGAUUACUUUUUUGUUCCCCAACUGAAACUAAACUGUCUGGGUAGAGCUACAAAGAAGAGAUACAUACAGUGAGUCAGUGAACAUCUUCUUCGGAGUAAGGACGAUACGAUGCAGACAUGGUACACCAUGUAAAGCCAAUCAGAAACAGAUUGCGAAUUCAUCAGUUAGGUUUCCACUGUACCUUUAUCUUGACUCUGAAUUUUUCUUUUUCCAAGUAUGAUAGUUGAGCACUUCAGUUUUCCAGUCUUAGAAUGGCUUAGCUUGUUGCCUUAAAUGAGAUUGGACAAACACCAAAUGACUUGAGAGUCUUGUAGAAUGGUUUCUGUGCAGUAAGCUUCAACAACUUUAGGAUGAAAGUAACCCCACUGUUGUAGUUGAAGUUGUGGUUCUCUUCUUUGAUGAUUCUGAACAACUACUGAAUGACCUCCACAUACCUGUGCACUGCAUAUGUUCGCAUCAAGCUAGCUCAAAUUGCUUUCGUUUGAGAUCCAUGGAAGAACAAAUUGAUCAGCCAUUCUGAAGUGCUCAACGUGAGUUAUGAAGCAGAGUUGUUAAUCAGGGGUGUGUUUGAAUGCCGCUAUGUAACUGUGUGUAUAUAUAUACCCAAUCAGGGGUGUGUUUGAAUGCCGCUAUGUAACUGUGUGUAUAUAUAUACCCAAAGAAGUAGCAUAGAUAAAACCAAAAUAAUCAUCACACAGUAGCCUGCUAUCGUGAAGCUAAACACGACUAAACACGACGAAUCGUUUCCCAAUAA